UGGGCAAAACUUACAGGGCAUGCUAUGUGGCCAGCAGUUGUUGUUAGUGAAUCAAAUUUUGGUCCUAAGAACGCUUUGAAGCCUUCCCGGACAAAUGAAUCUAUCCUUGUACAGUUUUUUGGGACUCAUGAUUUUGCAAGGAUCAAGUUUAAAC